UACGUAGGGCGCAAGCGUUGUCCGGAUUUAUUGGGCGUAAAGAGCUCGUAGGCGGUUUGUCGCGUCUUCCGUGAAAACUGGGGGCUUAACUUCCAGCUUGCGGUGGAUACGGGCUGACUGGAGUGCGGCAGGGGAGACUGGAAUUCCUGGUGUAGCGGUGAAAUGCGUAGAUAUCGAGAGGAACACCUGCGGCGAAGGCGGGUUGCUGGGCUGAUACUGACGCUGAGGCGCGAAAGCUAGGGGAGCGAACGGG
rnacentral:rRNA from 1 species